rnacentral:rRNA from 1 species
AGUGAACGCUGGCGGCAGGCCUAAUACAUGCAAGUCGAACGGCAGCACAGUGGAGCUUGCUCCAUGGGUGGCGAGUGGCGGACGGGUGAGGAAUACAUGGGAAUCUGCCCAGUCGUGGGGAUAACGUAUGGAAACGUACGCUAAUACCGCAUGCGCCCUUCGGGGGAAAGUCGGGGACCGCAAGGCCUGACGCGAUUGGAUGAGCCCAUGUUCGAUUAGCUAGUUGGCGGGUAACGGCCCACCAAGGCGACGAUCGAUAGCUGGUCUGAGAGGAUGAUCAGCCACACUGGAACUGAGACACGGUCCAGACUCCUACGGGAGGCAGCAGUAGGGAAUAUUGGACAAUGGGGGCAACCCUGAUCCAGCCAUGCCGCGUGAGUGAAGAAGGCCCUCGGGUUGUAAAGCUCUUUGUUGGGGAAGAAAAGCAGUUGGUUAAUACCCGAUUGUUCUGACGGUACCCAAAGAAUAAGCACCGGCUAACUUCGUGCCAGCAGCCGCGGUAA